UUGAAGAGAGAUUUAAAGUUAUUGAUAUGAAGGGUAAUGUAGGGCAAAAAUAGAGUGGGGUAGGAUGAAAAAACAAUGAAAGAAAAUAAGAGGAGAAGAGAAAAAGCAAUAAGUGUUGUGAUGAAUAGUUAGAGAGAAAUGAAAAACUGAAAUAAGAGAUAAAAGAAAAAGGUUAAGGAUGAUUUAUGAGUAAAUAAGAAGAAAGGAAAUGAAAUGUGUGGACAAAAGCUUUGUGUUGGUUUUAUUUGUGUUCCCAAAAAGAGAAGAGUGAGAGAGAGAGAGAGAGAAAAUGGGUUUGAAGUGGUAGAGAGAGUGAUGAUAAUAAUGAUAAUUUUGCUAGCGUAAGUGGGAAACUCAAACCCCAUUUUCUCUGAGUGUACCAUUAAACUACUAUAUAUCUACCACUCUCUUCCACACACUUCACACACCAAAACCAAAAAGGCUGCUCCAUUUCAAUUUCCAUUUUCAUUGUUAGGAUAAGAUGUUUGCCCUUUUGCUGCUCCUACACACAAAAACAAAUUGCACUCUCUCUUUGUUCUCCUCUCCUCAUUUCAUUUCAACUCAUCACUUUUUCACCUAUUUAUUCAGUUUCUCACACCCCAUCAUGCAUAUAGAUAGAUCUGUCACACCCAUCUGCCAAGCUUGCUACUUGUCAUCUCUACGUUUUGCAUGACUCUCUCUGACUCAAUGUACAGAAAGUCAGACAUGGAAAAGAGAGAGAGAGAGAGAAGGAGUUUUGUGUCUCCCAACAUGGUUUUGGUUCCAGUUUAUUUUAUGGUGUUCAUACCCUUUUUUUUUCUUCUUUUAUCUUCUCUCAGAACCAUUUCAUCUUCUUUCUUAUCUCUUGAUUCGUCUUCUGGGGUUUGUUUUUCUUCUUUGUGCCCUUAUUUGUCGGACUGAGGUUGUUGGUUACAAACCCUAAAUUCUCAGAAUUGUGUUCCUCUGAGAACAUGCAUGUCAGAUCCUAGAUUUUCCACCUUUUUAGCUCCAGAUUUCGUGAAGUUUUCCUUUAAUAUGGAUGUCACAUUUUUCCUCCUCAGAUCUGACUCAGUUGUGUGGCUUUUGUUUUUCCCUUCAGAUUUUUCCAAACCUUUUGUCUGUGAAACUUUCCAUAUUUGGGAUGCUAUUGUAUGUGUACUUAGUUUCUUUUAAUUCCUUCUAUUUGGACAGAAAUUGACAGAAGAGAGUGAGCACAAAGAGGCACAUGAUAUAACUCUAUAUCACUGCUUUUGUGUGCUCACUACUCUUUCUGUCGGUUUUCGGUGCCAGAAAAUUCUCCGAGUCUCCUUGCUCCAUCAACCAAAACCAAACCACAUCAUCUUCAUUCUCUCUCUCUCUCUCACCCUCAUGACAAAAAAUGUCUCUCACUGAAACAGUUCAAUUACAUGGUUGGUUAUCUGUUUCACUAUUAUUCAACAGCUUGGAAGAAUUUUAGAUGCUGGCGAAUGAAUGACACGAUCUCCUGAUUCUGUCGAGGUAACUGGCUAAUUUGUGCAACUUUUACAUCAUUGUGAUUUGAUUGAUGGUCCAUAAUUCUGUCUGAUUUAUGUACUUUUUCUGAUAAAUUUGUAGUCGUUAAUUUAAAUGACGUAAGACUAAUUUUGGUAUAUUUUUUCUGUAGUUACCUUUUUGGCACUUCUUUCUGUAAUAUAUCAGUUUAUAGUUAUACUGAUAGAGACCAUAUAUAUGAAUACACACACCCCAGUUUGCACAAAGACAACCCAAAAUAAAUUUGCAGCAGUAAACGGUGUAUAUAAUGGAAAGGUUUUACUUUGUUGGAAGUGAUUAAUAAUUAUGAUCAUUUGUUGUUAUGGAUUAAUCACAACCAUAAUUUAGAUGAUUUGAUUGUGAUAUAAUUUCCUUUUCUUCAAUGUUUCAAAUCUCAACAUCUAAACUAUCUUCUUAAGAACUAUAUCUAUGACUUUUGAAUACUGAUUAAGUUAUUAUAUUUACAGAAACAUGUAUUUAUACUGCUGUUAUAAUAUAUCUGAACAAGACAACUACAAAAGUCUUAUAUAUCCAAUGCAUCAAAGGGCUUUAGGCUGAGUAUAUUAUAGACAAUGUCCUCUAAUGUCUUUCUUCAUCUCUUUUUGUCUCCUACUUUUGCAGAUGCCUAAAAACCACAUAAUCUGUUCUAAUCACUGGUGUACUUACAGGAAUCUUCUUUGUAAAUGUUUAUAUGAAGGUGAAUAAUUUUCUUCAAUACUGCUACAGAGGUGUUGUGACUGCAUAAUGAGUAAAGUUUUGCAUAACUUAUAACUAUGUCUUCAAGAGCAGUUUUUCUUUGAGGUACUGACUCAAAUGAAUGUUAGAAGGCCAUAUAUAUCAAUGGAAAGAAUGUUAAAGGGUAGGUUGAGAAAAUUAUGCAGGGGUUCUUAUUUUCUCACAUGGUUGCAUUUUGCUUUUCACAGUUGUUUUGGAGAUAUUUGCUUUUGUAGUUGUUGAAUGCCUUUCUUCUGCAAUCUUGUGCAGUGAAAUGGUAGUUUUUAUUUAAUGAUCAUUAGGGUCAUCACAUGACAUUAUAGAAACAGUCCAGAUAAGAAUUUCAACAUAUAUAUAUAUAUAUAUAUAUAUAUAUAUAUAUAUAUAUAUAUACACACACACACACACAGCCAAAAACAAAAUGAGUAUUGGAGAGGAGAUUGUUUAUUCCAGUGAAAGCACAGUUAGCAGUUUUUAUGUAUGAUAUUGGAUAUCAAUUUUCUUGAAUUGUAUAUUAUUUUAUUUGGAAGCAUAUGCAUGACUUUCACCAAGGUAUACUAUGAUUACUUUAUAUGCAAGACACUUUUUAAUUUUUACUUUGAUA